AUCGAACGCUGGCGGCAGGCCUAACACAUGCAAGUCGAACGAGUGGCGGACGGGUGAGUAAUGUCUGGGCAACUGCCUGAUGGAGGGGGAUAACUACUGGAAACGGUAGCUAAUACCGCAUCCCAUCAGCUGGGCCCAGAUGGGAUUGGCGGGUGGGUGGGGUAACGGCUCACCAAGGCGACGAUCCCUAGCUGGUCUGAGAGGAGGACCAGCCACACUGGAACUGAGACACGGUCCAGACUCCUACGGGAGGCAGCAGUGGGGAAUAUUGGACAAUGGGCGGAAGCCUGAGACAGCCAUGCCGCGUGUAUGAAGAAGGCCUUCGGGUUGGAAAGUACUUUCAGCGGGGAGGCGUUACCCGCAGAAGAAGCACCGGCUAACUCCGUGCCAGCAGCCGCGGUAAUAC
rnacentral:rRNA from 1 species